rnacentral:rRNA from 1 species
CAGGCCUAACACAUGCAAGUCGAGGGGUAUAUUGGAGCUUGCUCCGAUAGAGACCGGCGCACGGGUGCGUAACGCGUAUGCAACCUACCCUGUUCAGGGGGAUAGCCCGGAGAAAUCCGGAUUAAUACCGCAUAAGACCACGUGGCGGCAUCGCCGAGGGGUCAAACAUUUAUGGGAACGGGAUGGGCAUGCGUGCCAUUAGCUAGUUGGCGGGGUAACGGCCCACCAAGGCGACGAUGGCUAGGGGAUCUGAGAGGAUGGCCCCCCACACUGGUACUGAGACACGGACCAGACUCCUACGGGAGGCAGCAGUAAGGAAUAUUGGUCAAUGGGCGCAAGCCUGAACCAGCCAUGCCGCGUGCAGGAAGACGGCCCUCCGGGUUGUAAACUGCUUUUAUACCGGAAUAAACCUUCCUACGUGUAGGGAGCUGAAUGUACGGUAGGAAUAAGGAUCGGCUAACUCCGUGCCAGCAGCCGCGGUAAUACGGAGGAUCCGAGCGUUAUCCGGAUUUAUUGGGUUUAAAGGGUGCGUAGGCGGCCUGUUAAGUCAGGGGUGAAAGACGGUGGCUCAACCAUCGCAGUGCCCUUGAUACUGACGGGCUUGAAUUAACUAGAGGCAGGCGGAAUGUGACAAGUAGCGGUGAAAUGCAUAGAUAUGUCACAGAACACCGAUUACGAAGGCAGCUUGCUAUGGUUUUAUUGACGCUGAGGCACGAAAGCGUGGGGAUCAAACAGGAUUAGAUACCCUGGUAGUCCACGCCCUAAACGAUGAACACUCGCUGUUGGCGAUAUACGGUCAGCGGCUAAGCGAAAGCGUUAAGUGUUCCACCUGGGGAGUACGCCCGCAAGGGUGAAACUCAAAGGAAUUGACGGGGGCCCGCACAAGCGGAGGAGCAUGUGGUUUAAUUCGAUGAUACGCGAGGAACCUUACCCGGGCUUGAAAGUUAGUGAAUAACCUAGAGAUAGGUUAGUGAGCAAUCACACGAAACUAGGUGCUGCAUGGCUGUCGUCAGCUCGUGCCGUGAGGUGUUGGGUUAAGUCCCGCAACGAGCGCAACCCCUAUGUCUAGUUGCCAGCAUGUAAUGGUGGGGACUCUAGACAGACUGCCUGUGCAAACAAAACAGAAAGGAGGGGACCACCUCCAGUCAUCAUGGCCCUUACGUCCGGGGCUACACACGUGCUA